rnacentral:rRNA from 1 species
AGGGCGCACGGUGGAUGCCUUGGCACUAGGAGCCGAAGAAGGACGUGACAAACGACGAUAUGCCUUGGGUAGCUGUAAGUAAGCGAUGAUCCAGGGAUUUCCGAAUGGGGGAACCCAACAGGUACUACCUGUUACCCAUAUCUGUUAAGGAUAUGAGGAGGAAGACGCAGUGAACUGAAACAUCUAAGUAGCUGCAGGAAGAGAAAGCAAAAGCGAUUGCCUUAGUAGCGGCGAGCGAAACGGCAGGAGGGCAAACCGAAGAGUUUACUCUUCGGGGUUGUAGGACUGCAAUGUGGACUCAAAGAUUAUAGAAGAAUGAUUUGGGAAGAUCAGCCAAAGAGAGUAAUAGCCUCGUAUUUAAAAUAGUCUUUGUACCUAGCAGUAUCCUGAGUACGGCGGGACACGUGAAAUCCCGUCGGAAUCUGGGAGGACCAUCUCCCAACCCUAAAUACUCCCUAGUGACCGAUAGUGAACCAGUACCGUGAGGGAAAGGUGAAAAGCACCCCGGGAGGGGAGUGAAAUAGAACCUGAAACCGUGUGCCUACAACAAGUUCGAGCCCGUUAAUGGGUGAGAGCGUGCCUUUUGUAGAAUGAACCGGCGAGUUACGAUAUGAUGCGAGGUUAAGUUGAAGAGACGGAGCCGUAGGGAAACCGAGUCUGAAUAGGGCGCAAUAGUAUCAUGACGUAGACCCGAAACCAUGUGACCUACCCAUGAGCAGGUUGAAGGUGCGGUAAGACGCACUGGAGGACCGAACCAGGGCACGUUGAAAAGUGCUUGGAUGACUUGUGGGUAGCGGAGAAAUUCCAAACGAACUUGGAGAUAGCUGGUUCUCUCCGAAAUAGCUUUAGGGCUAGCGUCGACAUAAAGAUUCUUGGAGGUAGAGCACUGUUUGGGUGAGGGGUCCAUCCCGGAUUACCAAUCUCAGAUAAACUCCGAAUGCCAAUGAAUUAUGGUCGGCAGUCAGACUGCGAGUGCUAAGAUCCGUAGUCGAAAGGGAAACAGCCCAGACCACCAGCUAAGGUCCCAAAAUAAUUGUUAAGUGGAAAAGGAUGUGGGGUUGCACAGACAACUAGGAUGUUAGCUUAGAAGCAGCUAUUCAUUCAAAGAGUGCGUAAUAGCUCACUAGUCGAGUGACCCUGCGCCGAAAAUGUACCGGGGCUAAAACAAUUUACCGAAGCUGUGGAUACCUUUAUAGGUAUGGUAGGAGAGCGUUCUAUGUGUGGAGAAGGUGUACCGUGAGGAGCGCUGGAACGCAUAGAAGUGAGAAUGCCGGUAUGAGUAGCGAAAGACAGGUGAGAAUCCUGUCCACCGUAAGACUAAGGUUUCCAGGGGAAGGCUCGUCCGCCCUGGGUUAGUCGGGACCUAAGGAGAGACCGAAAGGUGUAUCCGAUGGCCAACAGGUUGAGAUUCCUGUACUAGAGUAUGAAGUGAUGGAGGGACGCAGUAGGCUAACUCGUGCGUACGAAUGGAUGUACGUCUAAGCAGUGAGGCGUGGUAUGAGUCAAAUGCUUAUACCUGUAACGUUGAGCUGUGAUGGGGAGCGAAGUUUAGUAGCGAAGUUAGUGAUGUCACACUGCCAAGAAAAGCUUCUAGCGAUGUAUCAUACUCUACCCGUACCGCAAACCGACACAGGUAGUCGAGGCGAGUAGCCUCAGGUGAGCGAGAGAACUCUCGUUAAGGAACUCGGCAAAAUGACCCCGUAACUUCGGGAGAAGGGGUGCUGACUUUAGGUCAGCCGCAGUGAAUAGGCCCAAGCAACUGUUUAUCAAAAACACAGCUCUCUGCUAAAUCGUAAGAUGAUGUAUAGGGGGUGACGCCUGCCCGGUGCUGGAAGGUUAAGAGGAGUGCUUAGGAGUAAUCCGAAGGUAUGAAUUGAAGCCCCAGUAAACGGCGGCCGUAACUAUAACGGUCCUAAGGUAGCGAAAUUCCUUGUCGGGUAAGUUCCGACCCGCACGAAAGGCGUAAUGAUUUGGGCACUGUCUCAACGAGAGACUCGGUGAAAUUUUAGUACCUGUGAAGAUGCAGGUUACCCGCGACAGGACGGAAAGACCCCAUGGAG